AAGACUAUACUUUCAGGGAUCAUUUCUAUAGUGUGUUACUAGAGAAGUUUCUCUGAACGUGUAGAGCACCGAAAACCCCGAGGAAGAGAGGUAGCGUUUUCUCCUGAGCGUGAAGCCGGCUUUCUGGCGUUGCUUGGCUGCAACUGCCGUCAGCCAUUGAUGAUCGUUCUUCUCUCCGUAUUGGGGAGUGAGAGGGAGAGAACGCGGUCUGAGUGGUUUUUCCUUCUUGAUGGCUCAAUGACAGAGACUAGCUCGUAAACUCCGGGCCGUUUCCGGGCUGUUCGCUCCUGCUUGGCAAUGUCGCGAGAAAGGUUUUCGCCUCCUGUUUCAGCGGUGACGGCUUUUGGGUUUUCCUCGGGGUGGCUUUUUAAUUUUAGUCUUGGCGCGAGGCGGGGGAUGCUGUGUGGCACCUCCUAUUGUCUCUUUUUGCGUUUUCUCCCAUUCUCGCUCCCUCUUUUGUCGCCGUUUCCCGCCCGCCACUCCCACCCCCAGACGGGGUCUCCGGGUCUCUUGUUCUGUCUGCCGGCCCCGGCUGGAGUGCAGUGGCGCGAUCUCGGCUCCUAGCAACAUCUGCCUCCCGGGC
rnacentral:lncRNA from 1 species